GUGGGGUUCCCGAGCGGCCAAAGGGAGCAGACUGUAAAUCUGCCGUCAUCGACUUCGAAGGUUCGAAUCCUUCCCCCACACCA
rnacentral:tRNA from 3 species